rnacentral:lncRNA from 1 species
CUCCCUGACUAUUUUAUUUCUCUUUUUAUUUCUUGCGUUAUUAUCAUCUUCACACACAAGGGAAGCAUCGCAGCUCGUCAGAGUCGUGCCUUCCAACAUGUGGCCCCCGCACCUCCUCAAGUGAUGAUCGCAGAUCAGCCACACUCCUUGAUCCCCUGGCCCUGAGCCCUGGGCCUUCUUUAGUUCUAAAUUUUUUGGAAAGUCGGCACUGUAGAACUUUUUUUUUGUAUUUGAUAAAGAUUGUCCAAUUAUAGACUAACUAGGCUCAAAAGAUCUAUCUCGUCAAUUUCGAUCAAAUUGUACAAUUAGUUUUUAUUUUCGUCUAUAUUUAAUACUUUAUGCAUAUGUCUAAAGAUUUGAUGUGAUGUAGAAUCUGAAAAAAUUUGUAAAUUUUUUUUUUAAACUAAACAAGGCCCCCACCUUGUGCCUGUGGUGAGAGCUCGCUUGCGCCAGUGGUGCCCAGUGCCAUAGGGUGGACCUCAGCGGGACCAAGAGGAGGGCUCGCCCGAGGUCAACCUAGCUUAUAGCUUUGACCUCACUAAAUUUCCUAAUCUUCAUCUCUGAAUUACCUGUGCCCUUAUGAAAAAAAUUAUCUAAUAAAAAACUCACUGAAUUUCCAUCAAAUUAUCCAACUCCCCUAUUAUUAGAAAUAGCCACAAUAUGCAUCUCAAUUUCCUACAACUACCGUGGAUCCACAAUAGACAGUUUUUUUUUUUUUUUUGCGCUUAAGGAUAUGCACAUGAACCGUUGGAUUUGCAUUGAAAAGUGUACAUGAGAAAUGUGUACGCACAUAUCUCAAUGUGAAUUCAACGGUCCAUGUGCUAAGAGCAUAUGCCCUUAAAGGAAGAUUUUACUUUCCCACUAACAUAUAGAGAAAUACUUCCUCUAUCCCUGAAAGCUUAAACUUUUAGAGUUGCCUUAAGUCAAACUUUUAAAACUUUGAGCAAAUCUAUAGAAAAAAACACUAAGAUUUGUAGUACCAAUUAAUACUACUCCCUCUGUCCCUGAAAGCUUCAACUCCUAGAAUCUGUGGCAGUCAAACUUGUUUAACUUUGACCAAAUUUAUAGAAAAGAGCAUCAAUAUCUAUGACAUAAAAUGAGUAUCUUAUGAAAAUAUAUUCAAUGGU